CCUGGUGGCUCAGACGGAAAGCGCCUGCCUAUAAUGCAAGAGACCCAGGUUCGAUCCCUGGGUCAGGA
rnacentral:tRNA from 1 species